rnacentral:lncRNA from 1 species
UUUUCUGGAAGAUCGAAGAUUUUGGUACUUACAUCAGCAAUUUGUCCUUCUUCCUUUUCAUGCUCAAGAUGAGCAUCAUCUAAGCAUGGGGAGUCAUCGUAUUAUCUCUGACUACUGCUGAGUAAGUAAUAUGUUGCAAAGAGUUCUGAGGAGCAAAAAGAAAAAAACAUAUAUUGUGAAAAAGAAAGAAAAAAAAUGAAAGAAGUGUUAAAAAUAAAAGGAGAAAUAAAAAUACUCCUCAGUUCUUUGAGAUUCAUAAAGAUCCCAAGUGCUCUCAAGAUUAACGAUUAUUCCAUAGUUAUUUUUCCAACCAUGUGCAAUCCGAUUACGAGAACUACAUUUGUGUCUCGCGAUCACUCUUUGCACUUACACAUGUCCACUAUCAAAAUGUGUGUGUUCAUUCUCU